rnacentral:lncRNA from 10 species
UACAGCUUCCUUCUCUUCCUCCUACUGCCUGAACUGGGCCUGGUUAAUAUCCUUUGUCUUCACCUCAUCUUUUUGGCUGUGACUGACUCCCUCUAAAUCAAACCUUUGCCACCUCGUCCUUCUUAUCUCCCCUUUCUCUUCCUUCCCUUGUCCUAUUUUAGAUAGAGUGGGGCAGCAGGUCAGGUCUCAGACCAGGGUGGGAGUCAGGGACCAGAAAGCUAGGGCCAGAGCUGCCCCUAGUCUUCAGCUCCUGCAUCUGCAAAAUGAGGGUUAAGGGCUAAUCUCUACGGACUCUUUAAAGCCCGAUGUUCUAGGAAUUUCCAGAGCAGUGAGCUACCCAGCUGAGUCAGAGUCCAGAGGUGCGGUUUCAUGGCUGUUUCUUCCUUGUUGUGACUUCCACCACCACCAUCAGUCCGGCAGCUCCCAAAUCUGCAUCCCUAGCACAGAUUCCCUUCCUGAGCCGUGGGACCAUAUAUCCCACUGCUCCCUCCAUGUCCCUAGGAGGUGCUUUAAAAUCAGCAUGUCCAAAAAGAAAAUCAUUAUAUUGCAUACCAUUCUGAUUCUGUUGCCAGCAUGCGUGUGCAUAGCACACUCACAUUCAUACACUUCUGAUCAUGUGACUUUCUGUUUAAAACCACUCCACCAGGAUAAAAUCCCCAGAAAACAAGGCUUGGUGUGGCACAGGCCUUUAUUGACCUGACCCCAGACUCAUCUCUCAUCUUCCCACCUCCCCAGACAUCAUACUUGAGUCAACCCUAACUACUGAACACACCAAGAUGUUUCACACCUCCGUGUGUUAGCAUUGGUUCUUUCUCCUGUAUAGAGGAUCAUUUCCCCCUGUGUUUUACCAAGGAACUCCUUUUCAUACAUCAAAACUGAGCUUAUCACCUCUACCCUGAAGUCAUCCUGGACAUCACUGGUCCCAGUUAAUCACUCACUUAUCUUUGCCAUCCUUGACCUGGGAAGAGAACGUUGCCCUCAUUGGUCUGGAAUCAGCAGGUACCUCAUGGCUGGAGGUGUAUUUUCAGGUGGGUUGGGACUUUGAAGAGGUGGCUUUUCCUAUGGACCCCUCUGACUCCCCACCUGUGGGCAUGACACAGGUGACCUGGCUGCCAGGGCAGAGGCUGCUUAGCCCUGCUCCAGAGAAACAGAGCUCUGAGGGCUUCCAGAAACCAGGGCUCCUGGCUCCUCAGUCCUUCCCACUCCUCUCUUCCUACUCCCGUGCUGCAUAUAAACUUUUCUUUUUUUUUCAGAUGGAGUCUCACUCUGUCACUCAGGCUGGAGUGCAGUGGUGCGAUCUCAGCUUACUGCAACCUCCGCCUCCCGGGUUCAAGUGAUUCUCCUGCCUCAGCUUCCCCAGUAGCAGGGACUACAGGACCACAGGUGUAUGCCAUUAUGCUCGGCUAAUUUUUGUAUUUUUAGUAGAGACAGGGUCUCACCAUGUUGGCCAGGCUGGUCUCGAGCUCCUGACCUCAGGUGAUCACACGCCUUGGCCUCCCAAAAUGCUGGGAUUACAGGCAUGAGCCACUGCACUUGGCCUGCAUAUAAACUUUUUGAGUUUCCUGCUUUUGACAUGAGCAUGGAUAUUUAUCACUUCUAGAGGCAUUAGGAGAACUCAAGUCCAAGUGCUCAGAGACCUACAGUGCAGCUUAAGACCCUGUCACAGGAAUCUUCGGGGUGGGGGCAUGCACGGGAGUUAUAGAGAGUUGGGGAAGGAUGAGUUCUCAACCAAUGCUUUCCUUUUUUCCACAGACUCCUUUGGCAUCUGGUGAGGCCUGUGGAUUCAUUCUCAGAAUCACAUUUUUAAAUGCACAUAAUAAAAUACAUAGAAUUGCAAAGGAAGUUAAUUAUAUUGAAAUACAGUUAUCAAAAAUAUAAAUAAAACAAGUAUGUGGUACAGUCAUAUGUGUGCUUCUUUAUUAAGUCAUUACAAAGCAAGAUCUAUUUGGAGGUCUAAUAACUGUCAUAUGCUUGAAAAAAUCCUUAACAAUCAUAAUAUAUUAAAAAAUCUGAUUUCUACUUUGGCAAAUCAUAGAUAUUGCUGAAACUGUGGUUUAUUGCCUGCAUUCAUAAUUGAAGGAAAUGCUAGAGUUCAGUGAGAAGGUUGUGAAAAUAAAGAGAGCCUUUUUUUCUCAUCAAG